rnacentral:rRNA from 1 species
GAUGAACGCUAGCUACAGGCUUAACACAUGCAAGUCGCGGGGCAGCAUGGGGGUUGCUUGCAAUCCCCGAUGGCGACCGGCGCACGGGUGAGUAACGCGUAUCCAACCUGCCCUUCACCACGGGAUAACCCGGCGAAAGUCGGACUAAUACCGUAUGUUGUCCAUUGACGGCAUCCGAUUUGGACGAAAGGUUUGGCGGUGAAGGAUGGGGAUGCGUCCGAUUAGCUGGACGGCGGGGUGACGGCCCACCGUGGCGACGAUCGGUAGGGGUUCUGAGAGGAAGGUCCCCCACACUGGAACUGAGACACGGUCCAGACUCCUACGAGAGGCAGCAGUGAUGAAUAUUGGUCAAUCGGCUUAAUCCUGAACCAGCCAAGUAGCGUGCAGGAUUACGGCCCUAUGGGUGGUAAACUGCUUUUAUGCGGGGAUAAAGUGGCCCACGUGUGGGUUUUUGAAGGUACCGCAUGAAUAAGGACCGGCUAAUUCCGUG